AAUUUUUCGGUGGACACCAACUAAACGGGAUAAAGCAUUCCGGCCUGGGGGAGGGACGGUCGCCAAGAGUAUAAACUCAAAAGGGAAUUGUACGGGGGCCCAGCCCAAGCGGUGGGAGCAAGGGGUUUAAUUCGAAGCAACGCGCAGAACCUUACCAACCCUUGACAUGCCUGGACAAUCCGAGAGAUCGGACUUUCCUUCGGGACCAGUGCACAGGUGCUGCAUGGCUGUUGUCAACUCGCGUCGUGAGAUGUUCGGUUAAGUCCGGCAACGAGCGCAACCCACAUCUUUAGUUGCCAGCAGGUUAAGCUGGGCCCUCUAGAGAAACUGCCCGUGAUAAGCGGGAGGAAGGUGUGGAUGACGUCAAGUCCUCAUGGCCCUUACGGGUUGGGGUACACACGUGCUACAAUGGCAGUGACAAUGGGUUAAUCCCAAAAAGCUGUUUCAGUUUGGAUUGGGGUUUGCAACUCGACCCCAAGAAGUUGGAAUCGCUAGUAAUCGCGUAACAGCAUGACGCGGUGAAUACGUUCCCGGGCCUUGUACACACCGCCCGUCACACCAUGGGAGUUGGUUGCACCAGAAGUAGGUAGUUUAACCCUCGGGAGGGCGCUUACCCCGGUGUGAUCAAUGACUGGGGUGAAGUUGUAACAAGGAAGCCGUAAUUGAAUUUUNUNCGGCCGCCNNNACGGCCNGGAGCAUNCGANCGUCGGCCCAAAR
rnacentral:rRNA from 1 species